rnacentral:rRNA from 1 species
UUGAACGCUGGCGGCAGGCCUAACACAUGCAAGUCGAACGGUAACAGGAAGCAGCUUGCUGCUUCGCUGACGAGUGGCGGACGGGUGAGUAAUGUCUGGGAAACUGCCUGAUGGAGGGGGAUAACUACUGGAAACGGUAGCUAAUACCGCAUAACGUCGCAAGACCAAAGAGGGGGACCUUCGGGCCUCUUGCCAUCGGAUGUGCCCAGAUGGGAUUAGCUAGUAGGUGGGGUAACGGCUCACCUAGGCGACGAUCCCUAGCUGGUCUGAGAGGAUGACCAGCCACACUGGAACUGAGACACGGUCCAGACUCCUACGGGAGGCAGCAGUGGGGAAUAUUGCACAAUGGGCGCAAGCCUGAUGCAGCCAUGCCGCGUGUAUGAAGAAGGCCUUCGGGUUGUAAAGUACUUUCAGCGGGGAGGAAGGGAGUAAAGUUAAUACCUUUGCUCAUUGACGUUACCCGCAGAAGAAGCACCGGCUAACUCCGUGCCAGCAGCCGCGGUAAUACGGAGGGUGCAAGCGUUAAUCGGAAUUACUGGGCGUAAAGCGCACGCAGGCGGUUUGUUAAGUCAGAUGUGAAAUCCCCGGGCUCAACCUGGGAACUGCAUCUGAUACUGGCAAGCUUGAGUCUCGUAGAGGGGGGUAGAAUUCCAGGUGUAGCGGUGAAAUGCGUAGAGAUCUGGAGGAAUACCGGUGGCGAAGGCGGCCCCCUGGACGAAGACUGACGCUCAGGUGCGAAAGUGUGGGGAGCAAACAGGAUUAGAUACCCUGGUAGUCCACGCCGUAAACGAUGUCGACUUGGAGGUUGUGCCCUUGAGGCGUGGCUUCCGGAGCUAACGCGUUAAGUCGACCGCCUGGGGAGUACGGCCGCAAGGUUAAAACUCAAAUGAAUUGACGGGGGCCCGCACAAGCGGUGGAGCAUGUGGUUUAAUUCGAUGCAACGCGAAGAACCUUACCUGGUCUUGACAUCCACAGAACUUUCCAGAGAUGGAUUGGUGCCUUCGGGAACUGUGAGACAGGUGCUGCAUGGCUGUCGUCAGCUCGUGUUGUGAAAUGUUGGGUUAAGUCCCGCAACGAGCGCAACCCUUAUCCUUUGUUGCCAGCGGUCCGGCCGGGAACUCAAAGGAGACUGCCAGUGAUAAACUGGAGGAAGGUGGGGAUGACGUCAAGUCAUCAUGGCCCUUACGACCAGGGCUACACACGUGCUACAAUGGCGCAUACAAAGAGAAGCGACCUCGCGAGAGCAAGCGGACCUCAUAAAGUGCGUCGUAGUCCGGAUUGGAGUCUGCAACUCGACUCCAUGAAGUCGGAAUCGCUAGUAAUCGUGGAUCAGAAUGCCACGGUGAAUACGUUCCCGGGCCUUGUACACACCGCCCGUCACACCAUGGGAGUGGGUUGCAAAAGAAGUAGGUAGCUUAACCUUCGGGAGGGCGCUUACCACUUUGUGAUUCAUGACUGGGGUG